GUGUUGUGUACCAGAUCAACCAGUCCCAGUUCAACAUGCAUGUGGAGUACAGCUGCAUCAGGAUGAUCUGUACGAGAGUGAUGACGACCUGGACGACAAGGCAUCUCCCUGCAGUUGCCACAGGUGCACCAAGGUGGUACAUGUGCAGAUGGUGGCCCACCAUUCCGCCGCCGGUAAAAAUCUCUAGGACAUCAAUAAUCAACCCUGGCUCUCGCUGAAACAUCAGUCUCACCCACCUCCCUGUUGUCUGCAUCAUCCAGCUCCCUGAUGAAGAAUUCCUGAAUGAACAGAUGCACACACAGCCUAUUAUCAGUAAGGCAGAAUGUGAUAUUAUACUCUCCACACCAAAGGUAUUUUUCAUAUGUAUGGUCAAGGUCUACGAUUCAUUCAAAGCCAAUUCAAAGUACUUUCUAUUGCACAUUUAGGAAACUAGAUCAUGUUUGUAUUGAAGUAGCAUGUGUGGAAAAAUACCAAAAACCAAAAUGUAUUUAGCCACCAAUUAUUAUAUUCAGAAAUGAACUAUUCACUUAAAAAAAUACUAAUUUUUGUUAAAUAUAUAGGCAUUUUCAACAAAAUACAUACCUUUGUGGCAGCCAUUCUAUCACGUCAGAGGGGCUUAAAGCCUCUCCUCAUCCUAAUUUCUGUCUCCCUGCUGCCUGCCCGUCCUCUGCCUCUGGCUCUCCCUCAAACCCUGCUAGUCGGACUGCCGUCAACAACAUUGUCCGACGCAACCUGCACAUACAAUGAAUGACGUUAGUUAGAUAUUGUAUGUCCUGCUUGUAAUAUUCAUGUGUAAACAUACUGAAUUGUAAUUGGAUGCAUUUUACCGCCAUAUCAUACUGUGCUAUGAUUGGUUAAGACCACCCAAAUGGUAAGGUCAUGGUCAGUUUGAUCCUGGUUGGCGAUAUGUGAACAUGCCAGUUAUAGCUAGCUAAUAAAGAGCUACGUUAAGAAA